rnacentral:rRNA from 1 species
UACGAAGGGGGCUAGCGUUGCUCGGAAUCACUGGGCGUAAAGCGCACGUAGGCGGCCUCUUAAGUCAGGGGUGAAAUCCUGGAGCUCAACUCCAGAACUGCCCUUGAUACUGAGGAGCUUGAGUCCGGGAGAGGUGAGUGGAACUGCGAGUGUAGAGGUGAAAUUCGUAGAUAUUCGCAAGAACACCAGUGGCGAAGGCGGCUCACUGGCCCGGUACUGACGCUGAGGUGCGAAAGCGUGGGGAGCAAACAGG